CAUUCAGAAGCUAUAAUAAGUGGGAAAUAUUCAGAUAGAGGCUGGUGCCCUGACAGCGAAAAGUCCAGAUGGGAAGAGCAAUAAUUGAACAUAUUGGUUUCUUUGGUAAUCAACGGAGAAACAGAGGAAUGCCUGACAAAUGUUCUUUCCAAAACAGAGAUAGUGAACAUAAAACUGCUCGAAUGCAUGCCAGAACUGUACUGCUAGAUUUUUACAACCAGCCAGCCUAUCAUCAAUGACUUUGAGAGGAAACCUCUGCAGGGACUGCAAGCCAAAUUCCCAUUUGGAGAAUUGUUCAUUUGGAUGCCUAGUCAAUUCUUUCUCAACCAGACUCAACACUUCUGUUCAAGAAUGCACACACCCUGUUCUCACAGAUUGACUGAAAUGCUGUGCACAUCUGAACACGGUGAGGAUGCUGAGCUCUCUCCUCCUGUCAAUCACCAGCUCACCACAAUGACUAACAGGAAUGAGUGAAAAGGAAAGUCCUUGUUGUCCUCUGGUAAAUCUAUGUCUGACAUUCCUUCACUGUUAGGAAUAUUAAUUUGCCAAUGAGACAGCCACAGAGUAUUAGCAUUUGCCCAUACUCUGUUUUCAGGUAUGGGUGCUGAGAUCUUAUUUAUUUCAAAAUAAAUCUGCUCAAAAUUUGGUCUAGUUUAUUACU
rnacentral:lncRNA from 1 species